UACGUAGGGUGCAAGCGUUGUCCGGAAUUAUUGGGCGUAAAGAGCUCGUAGGCGGUCUGUUGCGUCGGCUGUGAAAACCCGGGGCUCAACUCCGGGCCUGCAGCCGAUACGGGCAGACUAGAGUUCGGCAGGGGAGACUGGAAUUCCAGGUGUAGCGGUGAAAUGCGCAGAUAUCAGGAGGAACACCGGUGGCGAAGGCGGGUCUCUGGGCCGAUACUGACGCUGAGGAGCGAAAGCGUGGGGAGCGAACAGG
rnacentral:rRNA from 1 species